AAGGAGUCCACUUUAAAUCCUUUAAGGCGGCGGUUCUCAACCUGUGGGUCGCAACCCCUUUGGGGGUCGAACGACCAUUUCACAGGGGUCGCCUAAGACCAUUGGAAAACACAUAUAUAAUUACAUAUUGUUUUGUGAUUAAUCACUAUGCUUUAAUUAUGUUCAAUUUGUAACAAUGAAAUUGGGGGUCACCACAACAUGAGGAACUGUACUAAAGGGUCGCGGCAUUAGGAAGGUUGAGAACCAUUGCUUUAAGGAGAUAUUCUAUGGCUAGAGGUGAAAUUCUCAGACCUGCGAAAGAGGGACCAGUGAAAGCAUUUACCAAGAAUGUUUUCAUUAAUCAAGAACUAAAGUCGGAGGUUCCAAGAUAAUCAGAUGCAGUCAUAGUUCAGACCAUAAAGGAUGCCCACUGGCUUAAUCCCAUGACCCACAGCCAGCGACUGUGAACCAAAAUCUGAACCCCAUUAGUGAUGGGGAU
rnacentral:ncRNA from 1 species